UAAUACGUAGGGCGCAAGCGUUAUCCGGAAUUAUUGGGCGUAAAGAGCUCGUAGGCGGUUUGUCGCGUCUGCCGUGAAAGUCCGGGGCUCAACUCCGGAUCUGCGGUGGGUACGGGCAGACUAGAGUGAUGUAGGGGAGACUGGAAUUCCUGGUGUAGCGGUGAAAUGCGCAGAUAUCAGGAGGAACACCGAUGGCGAAGGCAGGUCUCUGGGCAUUAACUGACGCUGAGGAGCGAAAGCAUGGGGAGCGAACAGGAUUAGAUACCCUGGUAGUCCAUGCCGUAAACGUUGGGCACUAGGUGUGGGGGACAUUCCACGUUUUCCGCGCCGUAGCUAACGCAUUAAGUGCCCCGCCUGGGGAGUACGGCCGCAAGGCU
rnacentral:rRNA from 1 species